UAACUUAUCUGGCAGGGGAGAUACCAUGAACAUCAGGGUAGUUUUCCCAAGGCAAGUUUCCACCCUUGCACUCCAGAUGACGAGACAUUCCUUAAUGGAUACAAUGCAUGUGAUUUGGGUGAUGGAUACUGUGGAAACACCGACUUCAC
ensembl:snRNA U1 U1 spliceosomal RNA